rnacentral:tRNA from 1 species
GGAGAGGUGCUGGAGUGGACGAUCAGGGCUGCCUGCUAAGCAGUUGUAGGGGUUAAACUCUACCGAGGGUUCGAAUCCCUCCCUCUCCG